rnacentral:misc_RNA from 1 species
GAUUGUUUUGUAGUUUGCUUGCGUUUGCAGACCAAAACAAUGGGUACCACAAGUGGAGAGAUCUAUACUCUAUACCCCUUAACAUAGAAAGGAAUUUAUCUUUCAGAAACAUUUGCAAUGUGAAUUUCAUGGGGUGAUUGUGCAUUGCAUUUAUAAUAUUACUAUUCACAGGCCACAUAUUUAACGCUGUAAAUCCUUGAUGGACUCUGCAGGAAGAGUUUUGCCUCUCUUUCUCUAUAAUCUCUUUUCCUAGAAUAACUAAGUAGAUAGAUUCUUUUCUUCUCUAGCGUUGUGAAUUAUGCAUUGUUUUGUGACCAUUUAACAUCAUA